AAACUGAAAUCAAUAUUUCAUAGAUUUUAAGUCAGACUCUCCAUAAACGAGCCAUUGGUCCUUAGUAUUUCAUAAAUACUUAAGAACGGUUCUAAUAACCUUCCAAACCUUUAUGGAGAACAGAGAUGACAAUCAAGCUUUUAUUCUCUAUAAUGUAGGAAUGUCAUUUUCGAUUAAGAGAAUUUCAUUUAAACAAUAUAAAGAAUACUUUUACAGAAC
rnacentral:lncRNA from 1 species